rnacentral:rRNA from 1 species
AGUGAACGCUGGCGGUAGGCCUAACACAUGCAAGUCGAACGGCAGCACAGUAAGAGCUUGCUCUUACGGGUGGCGAGUGGCGGACGGGUGAGGAAUACAUCGGAAUCUACUUUUUCGUGGGGGAUAACGUAGGGAAACUUACGCUAAUACCGCAUACGACCUACGGGUGAAAGCAGGGGAUCUUCGGACCUUGCGCGAUUGAAUGAGCCGAUGUCGGAUUAGCUAGUUGGCGGGGUAAAGGCCCACCAAGGCGACGAUCCGUAGCUGGUCUGAGAGGAUGAUCAGCCAAACCUGAACUGAGACACGGUCCAGACUCCUACGGGAGGGAACAGUGGGGAAUAUUUGACAAUGGGCGCAAGCCUGAUCCAGCCAUACCGCGUGGGUGGAGAAGGGCUUCCGGUUGUAAAGCCCUUUUGUUGGGAAAGAAAAGCAGCAGGUUAAUAACCCGCUGGUCUGACGGUACCCAAAGAAUAAGCAACGGCUAACUUCGUG